rnacentral:lncRNA from 1 species
AUGGGGGUUGCCCUUGGGGUCUGUCUGGCCCUGCGGCAGCUCCAUGUUGAGGUCGAGGCCCGCCUCGUCGGCCAUCUCCUGGAGCAGCAGGUCCACCUGGUUCUGGGGAGUGGUCAGCGUGGUCGUGCUGCUCAUCGUGUCUUCCAUCUGCUGCGUCUGGACGUCCAGCGUCUCGAACUGGUGCUCGAACUUGUCCAUCAGGGCGGAGAUCUUCUCCAGGUUCAUGGUCUUCAGCGUCGCGUCCAUCGACUUGACCACGCCGGCCAUGGACUUGGUCACCUUGCCCAUGGUCACCGCCGUCUGCACUCGGGCGGCCACCGCAUCGACGCGCGCGCUCAUUCUCAGGAAGUUCACGCCCUGGUUCUUCUGGCGGAUGGCGUUCUCGGCGUGUAUCCUCGCCACUUCCAUGUUGCCCUUCUGAAUGGCCUUUUUAAUUUUGGCCUUUUCGGCCUUUUCCUCCUUGUCGCAUUUUUUGGCACUCCUGCUCAGUUCUUUGGCCGCGAACUUCAGGUUGAACAGGUGUUUCUCCAUGGUGGACAUGGUCGGACGGCUGGGGGAGUUGGCGGCCGGGCCUGGGGGCUAGCGGCGAGGAGACGAGGCCAGGUAGGUCCGUUCCCGGCCGCCGCUCCUUUGUUGUGGUCCCACUUCCUGCUUCCGCGGCUAGCGGCGCAGAGGGUGACGUCAGAACCGGCGCCGGGGCGGGGCCUGCGUGACGGACAGCGCUGGGCCGCCCCACUGGACUCUCGACUCGCUUGCGCCUGCGCAGACGCUGUCCCGGCUGUGUUCGCGGUUUUAAACUCGAUUACAUCAGUAGCUAAUGCGCAAAACCGGGGUGCACAGGCGCUUCCUUAGGGAUACGUCUACUCACGCAGGCGGGAUAUGCACAGACCUGCACGUAAAAUAUUCAUGGUUCGAACUACGGGCUUUUCAUUUGGGCGGUGGGGAGGGGUAACUCGGGAUGGAUGGGGCCUUCGCCCUGUGCUAAACCUCCAGCCUUUUUACUUUUUAUUUCGGAGGUUUAGACUUCAAACUUGACUGUGAGUACAGUUCCUUGGAUAUUUAUAAAUCAUCAAAAAGGUGUCUCUGUCGCUGAGUCGCCCAGGGAGGGCUUGAAUUUGCAGUUUUCCUGCCUCAGCCUCCCGGAGACCCCUGCUUCUCAGGGAUUUUUACCUGAGCCAGGGUUGUGACUGGCUGGGGUGCUAAAAACCAGCAAAAUGCGGACAUCAGCUAAACGGCAGCUCGGUCUGCGGCCUGAAGCUUACUUUCUUUACGUGGGUAAUUGCCACUUUCUCAGGGGAGCCCCAAACUAUGCAGUAAACAAAACCAAACCCCACAGCAGUCAUUGGCCAGGGCUCAGUGUUUGCCUGACUGCUGAGCCGAGCUGAAAACGCCUUCAACACCCCGGCUCCCGAGACUCGGCCUGAGGCUGAGCUCUUCCUGAGUUGCCAACAACCAACGCCCACACCUUGUCCUGGGCUUCUACCAAAAGGCUGGCUUUUCCUGACACGAUUCUACCUUCUGAGGUUUUAUAAAUAUCCAAGGAGCUUCACUCACAGUCAGUUUGACAGCCUGAGCUGUCAUUUUCAAUUAUCCAGGCAGAGAACGGAGGGGCCCGGACCCACACACUGCGUUUGUCAGCACUGGCAGGGAGAAUCAAGCCCUUUGAAAUAAACGGAGGCUCCCAAUGGCAGCGACUGCGCUGGGCUUUGACUUUUACUUUUACUUAGGAAGAUUCCACUUUACUAAGAAGGCGGAAGAAGGCCGGCCUGCCCCGUGAGUGAGGUGUGCGAGCCCCUGGAUGUCAGAGGUCAUCUCUGUCGCUGUGCACAUCUCUGGCUCCGGGUGCUAGCAUGCCAGCCUCUGAUGGGGCUGUGGCGCCUGCACCUCCUUAGGGCACAGCUCCGACGAUGUCACCCUGGCUACGAGACCAGGCUGCACACCGCUCCCUGCCCUGUGCUGUCAGAGCGGACCCAGGCCUGGACAAUGCCACCUCCCCAAGCACUGCCCUGCUGCCCGGAAGACUGUCCCGCCUCUGCCCAUAGGAUCCCGCCUCCUCUGGGAAGCUUCCCAGGACCUGCAGCCGCUGCGGUGCUCUGCGGUGCUCUGCAUCCCGAACAGCGCCGCCGGACAGCGCCGGAUGCGAGCCUGGCCACGCCCGUGACACCACUGCCCGGUAAGAGCCGGCGGGGCGCCGGGCAGAGCUUCCGAGGCGGCUGCAGGUUAGGGCAGGGCAUCACCCUCACCAACAGCUUAGCCAGGCGAGAGCAGAGCUCUUUUCCACACUGAACUUUCCUAGGAGCACAGUGGAGGACUGCAUAGCAGGGAAGACGUCUGUGUAGUGAGAGCGCGGGACUCCUGCUCCCCCCGGCCUACUACUUUGGGGCCCUGGCUCUGCUUGCAGUUGGCCAACUGGCUGCCUGUCCUGAAGCCAGGGCCUUGUGGUACCAGACAAGUGUUCACCAUGGAGCCGCCCUCCAGCCCACAGCUAGCUUUCCUCCCUCCAUUCUUAGUGCUGGUGACGACCCUGGAGCACUGAGCUACAUCCCCAGCCCUUUUAUGUUUUAAAUUUGGGGACAAGGUCUCACUAAGCUGCCCAGGCUGGCCUCAAACUUGUGAUCCUCCUGCCUCAGCCGCCCGAGUAGCUGGGACUACACGUGUGCACCACCAUGCCCGGCCCAAAGCUUCUUACAACAAAGUCUAACUCAGCAAGAUGGGGAGGAACCAGACCCUCUUUCAGAUGAUGGUGUUAAUGACACCUAGGCACCACAUUGUGCUGGGCGCUCUCCGGGAAUUCACCCCCUUCGUCCUCACCAGGGCCCCAUGGUGGGCGACACCAGCAUCCUCAGGUAUGGGUGCGGAAGGGGACAUGCACAGAGCUGUCACUGGCUGCACCCACACGUCUGGGAAGGGGUAGGAACCCGAUUCCACAGAUGUGCCGAGGACCAGUAAAAAGCAGUGGGGUGGCCAGAAUGGCUGAGUCGCAGAAAGACUACACGGACUGGAAGAACCGACGUAGCAGCUGUCCCCGAGAGACAUCGGAGGAGGGCGAGGGCAGUGUGCCCUCACGGCUAGCUUCGUGAGGAAGAUCUCAUUGCCUGGCGCAGCCCUUGCCAAGGGACACCAGGGGGUGGGGCGCAGAGCGUGGGGGCAGCUGGAGCCCUGUUUUCCGAGGCAGGGCACGUGGGCAUGCAGGGCGUCACUCUAAGCUGGGGAGUAGCGCCCAGGCCUGGCUCCCACUCUGGUUGCAGCCCCAGCCUCCCUCAUGGUGCGCAGCAGACUGCAGCAAACAGCUCUCGGCUCACGGAGCAGCUGUUUAUCCCUGCUGUCCCCCGGGCACUGUGUGGGGACCGCUGGGCAGCUCCCAGCUCGAGCCCAGGUCUGCCUGCUUUCUGCUCUCAACGUCCGCCGGCCCACAGCCCUGGGGCCCUGACAGACUGGACUGUGUUCUCUAGUGUGUGUCUAGCAAAGGGAGGUUACGUGGGAUUGUUAUCAAAGGAGACUCUGGCCCCACGAUCCUGAUCAUACUUGAGAAUCUUCUGGAUGUGACACAGGUGUGCAAAAGAAUCCAGCCCGUGGCUCCCUUCUCACUAGCAUCACCACCUGACAGUACCAGAGCUAGGCAGAGAAUCCUUUGUUACUGAGCAGAAAGAACAUUUUAUUACUCUGAAAACAUUUCUAGGAAGCUGUGAGUCCAACCAGUUAAUUAUUUUAAUCAUAAAAUGGAGAAGAAAAAGACUACAAUUUGGCUUAUGUGGCCUUUCUUUUCUUUCCUUUUUGGGCAUUUUAAGUGGUUAACUUGAGAUACUGAAGCAGCAUAUGUAGUUUUUUUUGUUUUUUUGGUACCGGGAUCAAACUUGGGUCCUUGCACUUGCAAGGCAGACGGCGGAACCACUCAGGUAAAUCCCCUGCCCCAGCACAUGUAGUUUGAUUUCAUCACUUGCUGAAUCUAAAGACAAUGAACAGAGAAAAAAGGGGCAAAAAGUAACUUUUCUGUGGGUGUUAAAAUACUACAGGAUUCAGGCCGGGGUGCAGUUCAGCGACAGUCCGUCUGGGUAGCGUGUGAGGCCCUGGGUUUCAUCAACAGUCCUCCUCCCUGACGGGGAGGUCCCUGGGUUCUCCGAGGUGUGUUGCUAGUACGACCUGCACACACACAAGUCUGUCUGCUCCGCAGCAGCUGGCCCCGGCCUGCCUGGCCACCUCCCAGCACUGGAACCUGGCCCUGUUCAAUGGCUCAAGACAACAGGUGCUCGGUCAUUUCUGAGGACCGUGAAGGUCUGAAUUGGGCCAAAGGAAACAUCCCUGCGUAGGCAGGACUUGGCGAGCAUUUCAAGGAACAUGUGACAUAUAUGCAUGCAUGUAUCAUACCCGACACACGUGUGCAUUCACGUUGAUAUGUUACACACACAUAUGUACAGCUUUUCUCCAUAUCACCUUUUUUGUGGUGCUGGAUGCUGAACCCAGGACCUCUCACAUGCUGGGUGAGCACUAACCACUGAGCUUCACCCCAGCCCAAGUCCCCCGCCCUUUACUGAGGUCACAGCUGUAAUGCACAGCUCUGGGUCAUCUCCAGGCCACUGUCCCCCAAAUGAGCUCACCAUGGUGUCCAGCUCUGAAAACGAAGACGAGAAGGAGCCAGCAGGAAAUCCCAGGCCGCGAGACUUAGCACCGCGGGGACCCCGCCUGACACCUCGCUGGCUGCUCCCUGUGGCCCCUCCCGGGCUUUUCUACACUAACAGCCUGCUGAGUGGCGACACUGACACGGACUGCAAGCCCGUCCUC